rnacentral:lncRNA from 10 species
CCGCACUGGAGCGGCUUCUCCCGCUGCCGUCUUCGCGCAGAUAAUGUCUGUGCCUAUCAGAUAAAGGCAAACCAGUGCUCAGAGGAACCCAACCAUCUCUGAAUUGAGACCAGAGAGCUGUCUCUAUGGAUAGUCCUUAGAGAAGGCAUUUCGGAACACAGUAAACAGCAGCCUGGUGACUCCGAUUACAGGGCCAGUUGCCUUUGUUACAAUAAAAGCAAGUCAUCUACACAGAUUUUUCCUACCAGGAAGAGCAUGUGCUGACCAACAGACAUGAAUUUCAGCCUGGUAGUUACAACAUUCACAGGAGUUUCACUCGUUGCCCAGGCUGGAGUGCAACGGCGCGAUCUCAGCUCACUGCAACCUCCGCCUCCCCAGUUCAAGCGAUUCUCCUGCCUCAGCCUCCUGAGUCACUGGAAUUACGGGCGCCUGACACCACGCCCAGCUAAUUUUUUGUAUUUUUAGUAGACAUGGGGUUUCACUAUGUUGGCCAGGCUGGUCUCGAACUCCUGACCUCAUGAUCCUCCUGCCUCAGCCUCCCAAAGCACUGGGAUUACAGGUGUGAGCCACUGUGCCUGGUCCAUUAAAAACAUUUGUAAAGCUAUGGUGUUGAUAAAGUAUUAUGAAAGACUGCAAAAAAAGAUGGCUAAUUUUUAGUUAUUAUUGCACAUGUUUAGAGGAGCUAAUGACAUUUUCUAUGAUUAAUAAAAGACAUUAUUUAUGUUUUUAUUUAUGUAUUCCACAACAUUUAUUUUAUUUUCUCCAUUUCAGGAAAACCACUAUGUUGUUACAAUAAAGAUUUUCAUGUAAUUUGUGUUCAAUUGAUAGUAAUAAUGUAACAAGUUAAAAAUGAAGGUAAUUGUGUUUAAAAUUUGAGCAUAUUUUCAUCAAAAUGUAAGUUAAAGUGAUUGUAAAUUUUAAGAUCAUAAUUACUUUGUAUAUCUUCAAGAAAAUUAUUGUUUUAAAAUAUUUAUGCCUAUUAAAAUUAGAAGGCAAAAUAAAAAUAUAUGAAUACCAACAUUUUAAAUAAAAAUCAUUUAAAUAA